ACACACACACACAAACACACAUAAAAUCUGUGGCCAUCCUUACUCUCUCAAUCCUGAGGACAUGGACAUACAUGAGAACACCAAAUCAGCCCUAUUCCUUAACUUUUGAGUGAGACUUAAGAGAAUCAUAAUGCACUCUUCCAUACAAGAAUAUGAAUAACUAAUCAUGAAAUCCUUAAUGAAAACAAAAAACAGCAGAGUAAAGGAUUCAUCCAAGCACUCACCCAUGCUAAAAUUGGAACUGGGAAAGCAAGUUUGCACAAAGGCCAUUGCAGGUAAAUGGUGAAAGAGUACCAAUAAAUCAAAUAAAUACUGAUUAUUUCACUAGCUGCAAGUACAACAAAGUCCAUUUGUAUCACUGUUUGAGGGUGAAAUCUCUCGCCUAAAUUAAACUCAUCCAUACAGUAUAAAUUAGUAUCAUUCGGUGUGAAUCAGUAUCAUUCAUUAACUUUUACCUGUGAAUUUGUUGCAUUGCAUCUUGGAAAGUCAGAAUAAAAAGCUCAAGCUGCAUACUGUGCAUUUGGUGAGGCCAAAGAUAUUCACCCACAGUAAAAAUGCAACAGGUGUUACCAUCACACAGCAGUGGUCCAUCUUGAAAAGUUUUAAAUAGGUCUUUCUGGGCUUUAUAAGAAGGCAAUGAUUCAUCUUAAGAUGAGACCAUAAAACAUUGUGAUAAUCAUAUAAUUCCAAUAACUGGCAUAUUUCAGUGUCACACUUAAGCCUCUUUACAGCUUACAUGUGAUGAAACAUUUAUGGUAAAAUUAGUUCAUUUAAAGCUAGUUUGACUAUGAGUCCAGCAUGAGUACUUUCUACACUGGACCCUAAUGCAUGGAGUUAUCAGUUUAGCCCAUUCUAACUUGUGGAAUCUUCAAUGCAUUUAUAAUUUCUGUGGCCAUAAUGCUGACACCACCUACUGCCUACACACAACCCCUUACACACUUGAAUAGUCUGACCAUAAUUCUAUAAAAUAAAAUAAAUUUUGCAAUGUUUUACUAAGAUUGUGAUAUGAACAUAAAAAUAUUCCAUAUUAAAAAUAAAAAUGAUUCUCUUUAAAAAGAAUCAUACAUUUCAAUAACUCUGAAGACACUGAUGGAAGACCAUUUUAGACUGCUCACAAGACAUUUUCCCUAUAUAUAACCAUGAGAAAAAAAGCGACAAUUAAUUUAGCAUGCUAAUCCUAACAUCAAAGGGGGUAUAGAAUAGACAAACUCAGAGAGAGAGAGAGGGAGAAAACAUAGAAAAAUAAAACAGAAAACACUAAACAUAGUGAACUCAAGACCCACCUGCCAGCUUUCACCCAAAUGGCCAGACUCAAGCACUGCAGUUCUUAUGUCUUUAUUUAUUUGCAUAACCAUAGGAAUGAAGGAUGUCAUUAAUCAACAUGUGGAAAUUACUUCAACAUUGAAUUCCACAACCCGACACAAGUUACUAUACACAACUUAAAAUGCAAGUUCCUUUUCAUAACAAGUAUAUACAGAAACACCGCUAGAAGGCCUGUCUAACUAGAGUUAGACGUCGUGUGAUCUAAUGUGUAUCAGCUUAUAGCUGAAACCCACAGAGAGACAGCAUCAUGCUGAAUCUGCUGGAAAGGCUGCUCGCACAGCACUCAGCCAGGGAAAGGGAUUUGGUGCCCCCUUCUGGUGAGCUGCCAGUCUGUUCUGCCUGUACUAGACAGUGGGGCUCGUGUUCCACAAUUACCUGACCCAAUGGCUAGUGCAUUCGCAGGCUGUUGCUCAACAAAGAAACCUUGGAGUGUGGCUUUUCUACGGACGACCAGAGCAUUUUGGUAACAGACCUGGAGCAGUGGGCUUGAGGGCGGAGACUGCGCUUUGCAGCCUCGUCACCUCUGAA